rnacentral:rRNA from 1 species
GAUGAGCGCUAGCGGCAGGCCUAACACAUGCAAGUCGAGGGGGAAGUUACUUUCGGGUGACUGAGACCGGCGUACGGGUGCGUAACGCGUAUACAAUCUGCCUUUCACUGGGGGAUAGCCCGAAGAAAUUUGGAUUAAUACCCCAUAGUAUAUAGGGACGGCAUCGUUUUUAUAUUAAAGCUUAGGUGGUGAAAGAUGAGUAUGCGUUCUAUUAGCUAGUUGGAGAGGUAACGGCUCCCCAAGGCGAUGAUAGAUAGGGGUUCUGAGAGGGAUGUCCCUCACACUGGUACUGAGAUACGGACCAGACUCCUACGGGAGGCAGCAGUGAGGAAUAUUGGACAAUGGUCGGAAGACUGAUCCAGCCAUGCCGCGUGCAGGAUGAAGGUCUUAUGGAUUGUAAACUGCUUUUGUAAGGGAAGAAUAAGGGCUACGCGUAGUUUGAUGACGGUACCUUACGAAUAAGCAUCGACUAACUCCGUG